rnacentral:tRNA from 1 species
UGGCCCGUAGCUUAGUUGGAUAAAGCAUCCGGCUUCUACCCGGGCGAUUAUGAGUUCGAGUCUCAUCGGGCCAA